rnacentral:lncRNA from 1 species
CACCGGAGAGAAGAAGGUUGUGGCGGAUAAGCAGGGUCCGGCACGGUUGCGGCGGAGAAGCAAGGUCCGACGCGGAGAUGGAAGGAGAAGCAGAGACUGGACAGAGAAGCAGAGACUGGACGGAGAAGCAGAGCGCCUGGAAGGAAAUCGCACAGGGAAGAAAAACUGUUUCAGAAAUCGCGUGGGGAAGACGAACUGUGUGGUGAAUUUUGGUUUUUUAACCCUCAAAAGAGAAUCUGCCGCGGUUCUCCACUUAACCGCGGCAUAAAGGGGGAAUAGGCCGCGGUUCUACACACAACCGCGGCCUAUUCAUUUUAAAAAAAUAAUACAGAAUGACAAUUUUGAAAUUUUAUUUAACUUAUAUGCCGCGGUUGGGCGCUGAACCGCGGCAUAUACCCUGAAAAUUUUAAAAUUUACUGAGACCAGGGAAUAGGCCGCGGUUCUCUGGCAACCCCUACAAUAAAUUGACAGGGGAAUACGUCGCGGUUCUCUGACCAACCGCGGCGUAUUCCUCUGUCAUUAAACUUUUUCCCCUGACGUGGAGUCAAAUGGGUAGGUGGACAUGGGUAUAUGCCGCGGUUAAGUGGGGAACCGCAGCAUAUAAUGUCAAUUUAUUUACAAAACUGCCA